AACGCGAGCCGACGCAGUGACGCCAUCCUCCGUCGACAGGCAGUCGUACAGGAGUCGCUAGGAUAUAAAGGCGAUCGCGCUUUAACGGAGAAGCAUCGUGUGCGUUCUUCAAGUCGGUCACACAUCACAUCAUUCCAGGGGGAUUUUAGUCUCUGCAGAAGAUAGAUGUUUAAUAGAAGCUCUCCGCGGCGCGGGGGCUAGAAGAGUGCGCGCACCGCUCCUGCUGCGGUUCAGCGGAGGAACAGGCUUAGUUUGCGCUUCUUAAACUUCAUCAAGGAUUGUUUAAUUAACCCUCUCGGAGAGGAGACCCGGGGGAACACACACGAGCUUCGCUUUCCGUCGCCCUCACCUGAUCACCAGAGGUGGAGAACCACACUUGAAGGACUCUCAGCUGCUAGACGUGUGAAUCGUAAGUAACUAAAUGAUGUGCAAAAUUUACCUCCUUUUACUGAAGAAAAACC
ensembl:lncRNA